rnacentral:rRNA from 1 species
AUUGAACGCUGGCGGUAUGCUUAACACAUGUAAGUCGAACGGUAACAGGUCUAGCUUGCUAGAUGCUGACGAGUGGCGGACGGGUGAGUAACGCGUAGGGAUCUGUCUAGGGGUGUGGGACAACUCGGGGAAACUCGAGCUAAUACCACAUACGUUUUAGAUGUAAAAGUUUAAAAGAAAGGCGGGUAGCAAUACCUGUUGCUCUUAGGUGAACUUGCGUUGGAUUAGCUAGUUGGUGGGGUAAAGGCCUACCAAGGCGACGAUCCAUAGCUGUUCUGAGAGGAAGAUCAGCCACACUGGGACUGAGACACGGCCCAGACUCCUACGGGAGGCAGCAGUGGGGAAUAUUGGACAAUGGGCGGAAGCCUGAUCCAGCAAUACCGCGUGUGUGAAGAAGGCCUGUGGGUUGUAAAGCACUUUCAGCGAGGAGGAAGGUUGUAUGGUUAAUACCCAUGCGAUUUGACGUUACUCGCAGAAGAAGCACCGGCUAACUCUGUGCC